GAUGAAGAACGCAGCGAAAUGCGAUAAGUAAUGUGAAUUGCAGAAUUCAGUGACUCAUCGAAUCUUUGAACGCACAUUGCGCCCGCUAGUAUUCUGGCGGGCAUGCCUGUCCGAGCGUCAUUUCAACCCUCAAGCCCCCGGGCUUGGUGUUGGGGAUCGGCGAGCCUCCGCGCCCGCCGUCCCCUAAAUCUAGUGGCGGUCUCGCUGUAGCUUCCUCUGCGUAGUAGCACACCUCGCACUGGGAAACAGCGCGGCCACGCCGUUAAACCCCCAACUUCUGAACGUUUGACCUCGGAUCAGGUAGGAAUACCCGCUGAACUUAAGCAUAUCAAUAAGCGGAGGA
rnacentral:misc_RNA from 1 species